ACACCUUGUGUCAUCACGCUUUAUAGCUGUCGUGAUUUGUUCCUUGUCACUGAGAGGCUGAGUAGGGGAGAUAACUUGCGGACGCACUUCCUUCAAUGAAUUCCUGAUCCAGUAACUGCGUUUCUUUUGGUUUUAUUUAGGUAUUUUAUACAAUUAAUCAAGCAUCGAUGUAGAAUAUUUCCACGUAGUUUUUGCAGUAAACAAAAUAUAAAACUCGGUCACUCUUAGGUUGAGUGAGUCAAAGUCAUGUUGCCAACAUCUGGGGUUGAAGUGGCACAGGGGUAGAGAGGGUGUGCUGGGAACCGCAAGGUUGGCGGUUUGAGCCCCAGCUGCUCCAUGUUGAAGUGUCCCUGAGCAAGACACCUAACCCCUAAUUGCUCCCUAGGCAAAAAUGUGAAAACCAUGGGUUAAAAAUGUAAUGUUUUAGAUUAGAUUCAACUUUAUUGUCAUUGCACAGGGUACAAGUACUGAGGCAACGAAAUGCAGUUUAACAUCCAACCAGAAGUGCAAAAUAGCAAAAAGUGCAGAGUAUGUGCAUAUGUAAAGUGUAAUAAGUGAAUAAAUAGAUAUGUACAGUAAGAAAUAGUUAUGCAAUAUGAACAGUAAGAAAUGGAUAUACAAUAACAGUGCAAAUGUUCAGUGGCUGGAGGAGGGUGUGGCAGUCAAGCCAGGGUGGAGGGGGAAGUACAGUCACUGAGGGAGAUGUGUGUGGGGUGUGGGGCAGAGUUCAGAGUGACAGCCGCAGGGAUGAAGCUGUUCCUGAACCUGCUGGUCCUGGAACGGAGCACCGUGUAGCGCCUCCCAGAGGGGAGGAGGGCAAACAGUCUGUGGCUGGGGUGAGAACUGUCCUUUUCGAUGCUGCGGGCCCUCCGCAGACAUCUCUUGCUCUGGACAGCCUCAAUGGUGGGAGUGAGGAACCGGUGAUGCGUUGGGCAGUUUUCACCACCCUCUGCAGUGAUUUACGGUCCGCGACAGAGCAGCUGCCAUACCAUACUGAGAUGCAGUUUGUAAGGAUGCUCUCUAUGGUACAGUGGUAGAAAUUCUCUAGAAUCUGAGGAGACAGAUGGGCCUUCUUCAGUCCACCAUACCGCCAGGUGCUGGACCUCCUCUCUGUAGGCCGACUCAUCGUUGUUACUGAUGAGGCCAAUCACCGUUGUGUCGUCUGCAAACUUGACAAUGGUAUUAGAACCGUGUACAGGUGUGCAGUCAAUGUAAGUCACUUUGGAUAAAAGUGUCAGCUAAAUGACCUGUAAUGGAUCCAGAACCUGUGUCAAAGUUGAGGAUAUUUUUCUUGAUCUUGAAUUCCUCACAACAGGUUUGCAGAGCUUCAGUUUGGUUACAUUAUUUAGUUAAAUAAUGUGGGCUUCAUUGAUCACUGGAAGACGUUUUGGGGAAACCCCGGUCUGAGUAGGAGGGACAGCAUCCAUCCCACUUUGGAUGGAGCUGAACUAUUUUCUAAGAAUCUGACCCAGUUUCUUAGUGGACUUAGUGGAUCCAUGAACCCAGAUUUCAGACCAGCGCAGAGAAGUGUGUAAGAAUGUGUCUUACACACUUCUCUGCGCUUCCAUCCGAGCAGUCGUUCAACCAAACCGUAAUUACCCUAUAGGGGCCGUGUCUGCCCCAUGGAUACAGUUAUUUAAAUCAAAAGGUAAACAACCAAGGAGUUAUACUAAAUAACUAAAUAAUAAUAAAUCAAAGUUAAAACCAAUAAUGCAACAGCGCAACGAAAUAGGAGAAUUAAAAAGGAACUAUUGAAUAUUAUAGCUCAUUUACAGCUGUUUUAGUAAAUUAACUAAUAUUAGAUCACCAUGUUGAUGUAUUAUGUCUUAUUGAAACGUGGCUAUCGAAUGGGGAAUAUUUCAGUUUAAAUGAAGUGACUCCUCCGAGUCAAUUUAAUUCUCAUAUUCCUCGAGGCACAGGCCGAGGGGGUGGAGUGCCAGCCAUUUGUGACUCCUGCUUUUUAAUAAACCUUAAACCUAAACUUAAACCUGGAUUAUAACUCAUGUGAAAGCCUGGUUCUCAGUCUUUCGCAACCAACAUGGAAAAUACAGCCGGUUCUCUUUGUAAUAGUGUACAGGGCCCCAGGUCCUUAUUCAGAAUUUCUAUUUCAAGUUUCACAGUUCUUAGUGAGAUGGGUCCUUAAAACGGACAAGGUAAUUAAUCGUAUUGGGAUAGAACAUUUAACAAUCUUUUCACAGAACCCUCUUUUGUCAGACCAUUGUCUGAUAACCUUUGAAUUUCUACUACCAGAAUCUCCUCCUCCUGCCUAGGGUUUCUAUAGUCGAUGCUUAUCGGAUACUGCUGUAGCCUCAUUUAGAAGAAGCCAUUCCUUCUGCUCUAAGUUCAGUGCCAUGUCUCAAGAUAGACACCUGUGAAAACUUCCGUCCGUCCCAGAUCGAUCAUCUUGUCGAUACUGAUACAGGCUCUUUGAGAAUGGCGCUGGAUGCUAUUGCAACAAGAAGGAUUUUGCUCCUUGGUAUAACCCUCAAACCCCGAACUUAAAGCAAACUGUGCGGAAGCUUGAAUGGUUAUAGCAUUCCACUUCAUGAAUAUCUUCAAUGAUAAGAUUCUGACUAUCAAAGUGAAAAUUGAUGGUCUCCUGCCUUCAACCAGUGCCGACCUGUCCUCGGAUGUAGGAACCUUGAAUGCAGCGGUGGGCCCUGAUACCUACUUUGAUGGCUUCCCUUCCAUCAACCUUGAUCAACUGACUUGUACAAUUUCUAAGUCUAAAUCUUUUACUUAUCUCCGAUAAGAAGAUCCGAUUCCGACUUAGCUGCUUAAGGAAGUUUUUCUUAGUUAGCACGUCUUUACUGGAUAAUAUGAAUCUUUCUUUGUUGACGGGACAUGUACCACAGUUCUCAAGGUAGCUGUAAUUAAACCUCUUCCUACAACGUGAUCUCCAAAACCUGUUAACCUGCUGUGAAAAAUGUAUACAAAAAUCUUGAGCAUACAAAUUCGUAACAAUACAUACGAACUGGCGGUGGUUAAGUGAGUGAACAACAUGGCGGACCAUGUUGGAUUCUUGAGUGAACGUCUCUCCGCCAUGUUGGAUUUUCGUUAGACUUCAUGAAGUGUGUUUACGGGGUGCAGGUCCCCAUUCACUUUGAAUAGGGUGACGUCAUCAGUUGCAGUCCGUAUUUAUUUAGUAUGUAUCACUACGAAGAUUUUCGUAUACAUUUUUACGAACUGGUUUUAGAGAUCAGGCUGCUUCUUAAGAAACCUACUCUUGCUCCAGAGGUGUUGGCUACGCUCUAAAAAAUGUCACCGUAAAUUAACGGUAUUUUACUGGCAGCAAGGACGCCAGGAAUUUACAGUUUUUUACAGUAUAAUACUGUAAAUUGUUUUACAUUAUGUUACCGUAAAAUGGAUUACUGUAUGUUACCGUAAACUUGAACCAAUUUUACUGUGAAUUAAGCGUCAUUUACUGCCAGUCGACGCUGGUAACUUACUGUUUUAUUUACAGUGCCCUACCGUAACAUACGGUAUGUUGUUGUAUAUUGGAUUAGUUUGUUACCAUACGAUUACUGUUUUUGUGUUAUAAAUACCAGAAUGUUACCGUAUACUUUUGCAUUUAAUUCCCCACAAAUUAAAGAAAGACAACCAAACUCAUUUCGGUCAUAGUGGUUGGAGUUUAUUAGAUGCCUUUAAGAUAAAAAAAAUUAGGCAUUUGUAACCAAGAACAAAACAUAAAAUAUGCCGCAUGUAUACAAUAAUAAAAAAAUUAAUCAUAAAAUUAUUAGGAACAAGGUAAACUAACUGCAACAAUACACAAUGGAACAUUUUCAAUUGACCGCAGCAAGUGGCUGGCGUCCUUAAUCCAGAGCCUCUGUAAAACAAACCAAAAUAAAAUAUUUAGAAACACGGUCAUUGGUAAAAUAUUAAAAUUACAAAGAUGAGGAAGACAACAAGAUGUAAGGAAAGAGAAUGUUAAUCCUGCUAGACAAAUAACACUUACCAACGUUACUUGGAGAGACGAGGCAAUGAGAAACUCCUCCGAUGUUGAACUGCACAGGUGUUCUGGAUGAACUGAGAUACGCGUCUGAUGUCACGUUCAGGAGCAGUCGGUCACGAUUAACACUCAAAUGACUUUUAGGCAAUGAACACUUUGAAUAAUACGAAUAUUUAUAAUCUUUACAUUCCAGCCACUGAAAUGAUAGUGAAGGUGGUGCAUGGGAUAGGGAGGGUGUGCUGUGCAGCAUAAGGUCAGCAGUUUGAAUCCUGGCUGCUCCCUGUGCCAAGUCGAAGUGUCCUGGAGCAAGACACCUAACCCCCAAUUACUCCACAUAAAAUUAUGUCAAACCAUAGGUGUUUUGGAUAAAAGUGACAGCUGCAUGUAUAGUAAUGUCCUGUAAGUCAAAGUCAUCAUCGUAUCUCAUGAGAUACUAUCUCAUUAUGACUUACAGGACCUGUUUUUCAGUGGCUGACAUGGGCUUCCAUACAUUAAACUACAACAGAUUUAGAUGGAUUGUGAUUCACUGCACUUGUAUGUGUAUUUUCUUCAUAAAAUAUAUGUAACAUUCAGUUGAAUUACGGUAGUCUGCUAUUAUUGUAAAUUGACAGCUUUAACUGUUUAUUCAUGACAUUGGCCAUUAAUUUACAAGCACGGGAUGGAAAUUUAACUGUAUGUUACAGUUAUGACAUACUGUAAGAUACCGUUGCAGAAAUGCACCAUCAAUUUACAGCAAUUUGUUACAGUGUAACUACAGACCUAUCUCUAAUCGCCCCUUCCUCUCUAAGAUCCUUGAGAAAUCCGUUGCAAAUCAAUGAUGUGACUUUCUACAAAACAAUGCUUUGUUCGAGGAUUUCUAGUCAGGAUUUUGAGUGGAUCAUAGCACAGAAACAGCACUGGGGAAAAUUACGAAUGAUCUUCUACUUGCAUCGGACCAAGGACUCAUCUCUUUUAUUGUUUUGCUGGACCUCAGUGCCGUAUUUGACACCAUUGAUCAUUGUAUCCCGUUGCAGAGACUAGAUGCAUUUAUGAUGCAGAAAAAUGAGUUCAUGCGUUUGUUACUUCUAGACUGGAUUACUGUAAUUCUUUGUUAUCAGGCUGCUCUUGUAAAUCUCUUUAUGUCAGGAAUGCGGGGAGGAGGCAGGACUCAAAUGCAGACUUCUCAGGAAAACAAAAGACUUUAAUAGUCAAAAGGCAAAAUCAAAAGGCCAAGGGGCAAAAACACACAGGAACCAGGGGAAAAACAGCAGGCAUGAAACUAUGAACAUCCACGACGAUAGAGAAUGACGCGACAAGUGACACAAGAGACACACUGCUUAAAUACACAAGGGAGAUGCAGGUGAUUGGACACAGGUGGAAACUAUUAGACGAUCACAGGGGAUGACGGGACAAGGCAGGAAGUGAAGUUACCCGGGGACACGAGUGGCAGAAAACUACAAAAUAUAACAGGAAGUGAACCACACCGUGACACUUUAGCCUCUCCAGUUGAUUCAGUACGCUUCAGCACGUGUAUUAACAAGGACUAAGAAAAGGGAUCAUAUUACUCCUGUAUUAACUUCUUUGCACUGGCUCCCUGUUACAUCAAGAAUAGAAUUUAAGGUACUUCUGGUGAGGCACUGUCUUAUCUUAAAGAGCUUGUAACACCAUGUUGCCCUACAAGGCAGCUGCGUUCCAUAGAGUGUCCCAGCGCAGCACAAGGGACGGCGUGAUAAGCCCUGCUUGCUGUGGUCUAACAAUGAUCUAGCGUGCUGUCCUCUCUGGUUGGGCAUUUAAUAAACUGUUUGUACCUAGGAAGUUCAUGGCUGAGAUUUCGUUUGUUAAAGUCCCCAAAGACAAUAACUAAGGAGUCCGGGUUGGUCCGCUCCACACGCCGUAUCUGGUCUUGUCGGAGAGUUCCAUGUCGCGGUCCGCUCUGAGCAGCUGGAAGCCCACCAGUUGGAGCAUGGAGUCGGGUAUCGAUCCACAGAACCAGGUCUCGGUGAAGCACAAACAAUGCAUAAAAGUCUCUGUCUCUCCUUACCAGCAGCGUAGGUUUGUUGCACAGUGAGUGCACAUUGGAGAGAAAGAUAUCUGGCAGCGGUGUGCGAGAACCAGAGGUGUCAAAAGUAUUCACAUUCCUUACUCAAGUAGAAGUACAGGUACUAGGGUUUAAAAAGACUCCUGUAGAAGUUGAAGUACCAACUCAAGAUUUUACUUAAGUAAAAGUAUAAAAGUACUGGUUUCAAAACUACUUAAAAUAUAAAAGUAAAAGUAAUGUAAGAAAUUCCAUUAAGGACAACACCAAAACAACAAAUGUAUCUGACUUAAACAGAUAAAACCACAACCCAUUUUCCAGUGACUCGAGUCAGAGGACGUACAAACACGUUGAUCCUAUUGAUUAGGUAGACUGCAGUGUCUCCCCCAGGUUUACUACCUCAUGGGUGAAGGGGGUCUGACUUUUUACGGGGUGGGGGGGGGCGCACCCCUGUUUAUAAUGAUGGGAAACACUGAACUGGCAGCGGUCGGUUAUCAAAACAUUGGCCAAAUAACCAGUAUUUUCAGGCUUCAUGAGCAAAUACAGAAUCCCUUUGUGUUCAUUUGCAAAGCCACAUUAAGACACACAUCACUUUAUUUAAUACGCUACUUGCAAGUCGCUGUGUUGUGCCAGACUCUCAAUAAAACAUUUAGGACAAACCCACAGUCAUGGGAUACUCAUUUAACGUUACAUGGAAUCCGCGACUUACAUUACACUUUAAACCCAUGGCUUUUUUCACAUUUUUGCCCGGGGAGCAAUUGGGGGUUAGGUGUCUUGCUCAGGGACACUUCAACAUGGAACAUGGGGCAGCCUGGAAUCGAACCACCAACCUUGUGCUUCCCAGCACACCUUCUCUAACCCCUGCGCCACGACAACGACGAAGGCCGAACUUGAGAAGGGUUCCAUGUGAACAGCAGUUGAACAUGGGGCAGUCGGUCCUAAGAGAUGGUCGAACGCCGUUCGGAAGGGCAUAGCAAUGGCCUACGUCGCCCCCGGCAAAUCGAAAGGGAGCUGGGUUCAGAUGGCGGAGACAGGCGCCGCGAGGCGCCGCGAGGCACCCAGUGCGGCGACGCAAACGAUUCCGGAGAAGCUGGCGGGACCCCCGGGAAGAGUUCUCCUUUCUUUGUGAAGGGCAGGGCGCUCUGGAACGGAUUAAUCCAGUGUGCAGUUACACCUAGAAAGCUUUUAUUGUAAGCAGUCCAGAUGUCUGCUGUGGUAGAGACAUGUUGUAAACCCUCAAAUGUUUUUUUUUGCUCUACCUGCAUUUUUGCAUAUUCUCUGUCUAAAUAGCUUUGCACCUGCACAUAAUUUACAACUCACCUCUACAUUUUUGUCUUUACUUUCGACAAGCGAAAAGUAAUGUCCAUACUUCCAGGAGAGAAAGCUCAUUCUAUCCGCACUGUCGGCCAUGAUGUGGUUUAAUGCUCAUUGACUGAUUCGAUUGGUGUAUCAUUGCGCCACCAAGGUCCUGCGAUGUCAGAUCAGAAGCAGCUAAAGUAGGCCUAUCUUGUCUUCUUGUCUGCAAGUGUUCAUUUUUCACAAAAGAGAGUAACCCGCGUAACAAUCUCAUUUAAAUUUCAGUAAUUGUAACUGCGUUAAUUUAUUUAAAAAAAUACUUUGUUACAUGCUCCUUACCGCUAAAAGUAGUGGAAUUACAGUAAUGCGUUACUUUGUAACGCGUUACUACCAAUACUGGUCACUACCAAACACCAUUGUUUGCUGACUUCACA
ensembl:lncRNA